GCCUUCGUGGUGUAAUGUUUAGCACAAUCGACCCGUAACCGAGAGGUCCGUGGUUCGAGUCCCGGCGAGGGCA
rnacentral:tRNA from 1 species